rfam:Thioclava sp. SK-1 scaffold20_cov1903_read209, whole genome shotgun sequence.
GAACCGUCACAACGGCUUCCUGACGUGGCGGGGAUACCCAAAUGGAGCA